CGGGGACAAGGGAGAGACGGGCGACGUUGGACCCCUGGGUCCCCCCGGCCCUCCCGGACCUCGAGGCCCCUCCGGAGCUUCCGGAGCCGACGGACCUCAGGGACCUCCCGGAGGCGUCGGGAAUUUGGGACCCCCCGGACAGAAGGUGAAUCCCGG